AGAUUUGGAUAGACAUUUUUAGCAACAAUUUACUGCAAAAAGAAAAAGAAGCAUUUCUUCUUCUUCUGAAAAGUUCAAGUCUUUUUUUCAGAAAAUUCAGAUUUUUUUUUCUUCUUUUGUUUUCCAAAGGCUGAAAAUGACUUGAAGUAGGGCUUUCUCUCUUGGUUUCUUUUGGUUGAGAUCUCGGGGUUUUUCAACGUUUGAAUUUGGUUGCUGGGCUGUUUAUUGUUGCUGUUACUCCUUCUCUUUGGAAUUUCAGUGUUGUUCUAGUGACUACCAUUUGUUCUCUUUUCUUGAACCACCUUUAGGUAUGUAAUCAUGCUUCAAUUAUGAAAUGAAUCUGUUUGUCUAAACUUGAAGUUCUUCAUGAAUAUGUAUGUAUGGUUGAGGGCAAUGUGUGUUUAUUUUUGUCAAGCUUGUUUGGUAUUUUGGUAUGCACUGCAAUAGUAUAGCCUUGAUUCAUAGUAAAACAUUUAGUUGAGAUUGUUGUUUAUGCUUCUUUGAAGUAGUAUUUUUCUCUUCCUUCAUUUGAUUUCCUCACUAAAAUAUCUUUUUCUGAUUCUUUUCUUACUAUUUGGUCAUGAGCUAUAACCUGUUGGUUCAGCCACCAGUUGGUUGGAUCAGUUGGUUUAGAAGCUCUAAGGUGGGAUUUAUAUGUUAACAAAAGAAGAUGAAGCUACUAUGGACAAAGCCAUGUUCAAAAGAGACAGGGAUCUUCUACUAGUAUACAAAUCUGUAAUAGUUUAGUUUGAGAUUUGGUCAGUAAAUUAGUGUUAGAUUAGCUUGUCAUUUAGAAUAUUUUUUUCAAGAAAGCAGUGGCAUGAAUUAACAGUAAUACAAAGCUUGUUAUUGGUGUAAAGUUUGUCAUUCAAUACUAGGAGUUUUGUAGUAAUUGGACUGUCUAAGUGUUUGGUUAAACAAGUUCUAUGUGUAAAUUCGAACUUACAUUUCACAGGCUGGGUUGCAAUUAAUGCGCUUAAGUGUGUGUUCUUGGUAAAUUUAAGGUAUAAUUUUGUGAACAACAUUUAUUGAGUUAAGAUGUCUCUUACUGGAUUUUUUUAGAGAUUUGAGUGUUUGGUUUGGACUUGGUUAAGGUUCAAGUCAAGACAGCCUGUUGAAAGUCGUGUUUGGGAUGCCCUUAUUUGAGUUCACUCUUUGCCUUUGAGGCUCAACUUCAGGCCCAAAUGACCUUUGAGCUCUUGUUCCAUAUCCUCAAGCAUGAUAAAUGUUCUCUUUUGUAGAGUUGGGCUGGAAUCGGCCCAAUUAAAACCAUGCCUUUGAUUUCUCAUUGUGUGCUCCUAUAAAUAAGUAGUUGUACAUUUUGAAUCCAGCCAUGUAUAGUUCAGGUUUACAGAUAG
rnacentral:lncRNA from 1 species